rnacentral:rRNA from 1 species
AGUUUGAUCCUGGCUCAGGAUGAACGCUAGCUACAGGCUUAACACAUGCAAGUCGAGGGGCAGCAUGAUCGAAGCUUGCUUUGAUUGAUGGCGACCGGCGCACGGGUGAGUAACGCGUAUCCAACCUUCCCUAUAGUAGAGGAUAGCCCGGCGAAAGUCGGAUUAAUACUCUAUGUUUUCCAAUGCAGACAUCUAAGUUGGAACAAAGGUUCACCGCUAUAGGAUGGGGAUGCGUCUGAUUAGGUAGUCGGCGGGGUAACGGCCCACCGAGCCAACGAUCAGUAGGGGUUCUGAGAGGAAGGUCCCCCACAUUGGAACUGAGACACGGUCCAAACUCCUACGGGAGGCAGCAGUGAGGAAUAUUGGUCAAUGGGCGAGAGCCUGAACCAGCCAAGUAGCGUGCAGGAUGACGGCCCUAUGGGUUGUAAACUGCUUUUAUACGGGGAUAAAGUGAGGGACGUGUCCCUUAUUGUAGGUACCGUAUGAAUAAGGACCGGCUAAUUCCGUGCC